rnacentral:lncRNA from 1 species
AGGAACACGGACCUGUCACUAUCCCAGAACAGUGUUGCAGCCUCUCCGAUUUUUUUGUUAGGCUGGAUCUCUAGAAGAGAAGGCAAACUCCCUAAGUAUUUGCGGACGAGCGUUUGAUCACUGGAGUGGACGUCUUUCAACCAAUUUAGCAGCCUUGGGUGAAUGUUGGUUACCAUGCCAAAUCUGGGGACUUCGUGCCUUAUUUCUGCAACGCAAAGUGUUAGGCCCUUACCCCACCGAACUUGACUAUUUAACCAAUAAUUAGCAUAGCAAGCAUUUAGUUCUCCAAAAAAAUGCACAGAACACGGAGGUGUCUGCUUGGGUUUCAGGGAAACCCGAUGGAAUUUGGACUAGGCUAUCUUAAUGAGUCAUUAUGUGGACAACAUAACUGACUCGGCUAGAUUUGACCGUGAUGCCUGUACAGUUAAACAGAGUAAGGUUUCUAUUAGAGUAUUAUACAAGUGCCCUUGAGCGGACAACUUAAGAGGGAAAGGCAGGGAAUCGUCGACUGUGCCGGUGGUUGACUGGUUUUACCUCAAAUAUGCCUAUGCAAAAUUUAAAGGGUGAUAAUAUUGGAUGGGCGCAACCACUCAUUUAAGCAUUGCUAUGGUAUUUGUUUGGCACGAGUGGAAUAUGAUGUUAAAGAUGCAAUUUACAAGAAUGAAAUAUAUUGACAUGUAUUUCUAGGUUCAUAAGAUAAUGAUUACAAUAAUUGCUCCAUUACAACAGUAUAGAAAUAAAGCGGUAAAAGAAAGCAAUUAAAGGAAAGAAAAGACAUGACGAGCCAAGUCAGUUUCACAGUAAAGGAAAUAAAGAAAGUAAGUAAAUGCAAUUUAAAGAUAAUAAAGCCACAAGUAGAAUACGAUGGUAAAAGCCCAGAGAAAUCCCUAGCAGAGUCCCCAAGAUGUCGACGCCCCCUUUUUCUAAAGCGAUAAAUAUAUCAUUCAAAAUCAAGUAUAUGAUAUUUAGGAGGACAACUCUAUUCCCUUUUGAGAAGUAGGUUUUUUGAAGUUUGAAGAGUCGCCACCUAAUGUUUAUAGUGCAUUAGGACACUUUGUUAAGAAGAAUUUGAGAUGAAACCAGAGUUUGGGUAAGGGCUAGAAAUUAUCUCGAGGGGAAGGUGUUAGGCACUCCUCAAAAUCCACUAGUGUAGUUCCCGGACAUACUACAUUUGUGACUUUAAACAACAAGGAAACAAAUAAAAGUCUCAAGUAGAGGGGUUUUCCAUAAAAUUGCAAGUAAGUUUAAGAAUUUGAAAAUAAAAAGAGUAGAAAGUUUAAAAGGAUAAUUUUGAACAACUUAAAGAAGAGCAACAAGUAAAAAAGAAAGGGGUCCUAGGUUUGCAAAUAAUAUGGAUCACAUCAAUGCGAUACCCAGCAUACACUCUUCAAAAGAGGGGUCGCACGUGAUAUUAGUGCAUCGGUCAUCAUAUCCAUAUUCUACCCUUCCCACCCAGUUAAGGUAUUAAAGCGCGGAAAGUCUCGUUACUUAUUGCAUGCUAGUACACGUUCCAAUCCUAUCAGUCCCGGAAGUUCCAUAACAUUGCAAGUAAGUAUAAGAUUUGAAACUAAAAAGAGUAGAAAGUUUAAAAGGACAAUUUUAAACAACUUAAAGAAGAGCAACAAGUAAAAAGGAAAGGGGGUCCUAGGUUUUGCAAAUAAUAUGGAUCACAUCAAUGCAAUACCCAGCAUACACUCUUCAAAAGAGGGAUCGCACGUGAUAUUAGUGCAUCGGUCAUCAUAUCCAUAUUCAACCCUUCCCACCCAGUUAAGGUAUUAAAGCGCGGAAAGUCUCGUUACUUAUUGCAUGCUAGUGCUCGUCCGAAUCCUAUCAGUCCUAAUCCUAAAGGGAAAGGGAAUUUGGGGUCGUUUGAGAUUUUUCAAAGGAUAAAAUGCUAGGGAGACAUUCAAAACAUGUAAUACAAGUAUGGGAAAAACAUGUAAGCAAAUAGGGCUCAACUAAGCCUCCUCGAAUCACAUAAAGGCAUAUAGUUUAGCAUGUAUUUCACGUACUGGUUUGGUCUGUAUCAAAUUAAGGCGAUAGGCGGACUAUUUAAACACAUAUUUAUUAGAUAAGAAGUCUGCAUUAUGUCUGCUGGAAUGCUGUUGUAAAAGACUGAUCCAAUUGAUUAAUUGCCACCUUUUGUCUAUGUGUAGAACAGAACUACUGAUGUUGAAAACAAACUGAUUAUAAAAGAGUUACUAGUUUUAUUAGAGUAAAACAAGUUUCAGGAAAUAUGCAACCUCAUUGUAAAAGGUUUACCAGUUUUUAAUAGAAAGAAAUAAGUUUCAGAAAAAGAGUGCACUAAUUUAAAAAAAGGUUUAUCAGAUUUAUCAGAAAGAGAUGAGUUUCAAAAAUGCAGACUGAUUACAGGGAAAAGGUUUAUAAAGACGGAACAAGUUUUCAGAGAAGAUAUUCAGAAGAUUACCAGUUUUAGAAAAUUCAAAAAAUGGGUCUCAGAAAAGGUUUACCAGAACGAAUGCGAGUUUUAGAAAUUUGAUAUUGUUUUUUUUAAACGAAUGAGUUGGUUCAUAUUCGAGAUUUCCUAUAGGCAUGCUUUCUACAAGUUUACUGAGUUUUAACACAUUUUAGAUAUUAACAGAAGCCUUAUGAACAUGAUAUUUAUAUGCAGAUUUAUUAUUAAGCCAACAAACAGUUUGCCUAAGGACAUUUGCAUAUGCAGAAAUGCAGGAACCAAUAGGCAUGAUAUCUAUAUGUAUACUUGUAGAAAUCAGAAGUUAAAUCCCUAUAGGCAUGCUUUCUACCAUUUGUGCAUAAAAAUAAACCCCCUCCCAUUUCUGCUAAAUCCCUAUGAGUUUAUUACAAAUUAUUACAAACCGAUAAGCCAAACUAAAAAUUAAAAGUAUAUCAGAAGCUACAGCUACAUACGAGAGACCUAAUUUAGGCUUAGUGUCUAACAAUAUGAGAUGAACCACUUCCAAUAUCAAGAUUUCAAAAGCCUUCUUUUAGUUAGGGUGUUUCAAAGUUCCUAGGUAUUUCAAGAACUCCAGGUAGUACUUACACCCCAGAUAUCAAUUAGAAUGAAUCAAAAUGCAGUAUGGAAGGGCCAGCACUCGAGUGUCCAAGUUUAGGGGGAGCUCAUGGGUCCUAAGGCAAGGCUCACAAGAGGGGGCAGAACAUAAAUUCUAGGAAAAAAUGCAAGUGUAAUAGAAGGGUUUAGGGGGUGCCAAGGUAGGCUGGCGGUCAUGCCCAGCCAUAUGGUAGGCUGGCACACCCGUGACCAACCGGUCAGCAAUUAUGAGAAAAGAUCCAUUGAAGGUUAGACUAUGGUCUAGAUAAUGAUUAUGACACCGCCAGACCAAAGUCUCAAACUCAACAUACAUAUAAAGGCGAAUGGGGAUGGGAAUUGAAAGAGUUUAGGACCCAAGAGGGUCCAGUCCAUGUCCAUGGACAAUAACAUCAAGUAUUGCCAUGUUUUUGAACCAUAACUCAACCACAUAGAGGGGAUUAAGCUUUGGGAUCCAUAUAAGAAUAGGAACAAUAAAAGUAAAACUUGCAGAAAGUUACAUCAUGUAGACAGUAAAUCAAACAAGUAACUGACUAUAGAAUAAACACAUAGGAAUUAAACAUAAGAACAUACCAGUUGUUGAAAAGUAAGCAAAGAAAAGCAGGAUUCUUUCAAGCAAAGCCACAAUCAGAGAAAACCUUUAUGCUUGUGAGUUCAGAGAACUCGAGUGUUUGUGAAAUAUUCUAAGUAAAUUUUAAAAGUAUUCAUUGAAAGUAAUCAGAGUAGAUCAUGUAUUGAACUGUAAAAGGGUAUCCCUUUUUAUAGUGCAGAGAGGUAAGUAAAGAAGGCAAGAAGAUAUCACUGAAAUCAGACUCCCUUGUUUAAGGGUUUCUGAUUCCAACGGCUGAAAACAAGUUAAGGAAAGAAAAUUGGGUAAAGACCUUUCAAAGUCGCACAAAAGGGGUAAGUACAUAAAAGUUAUUUAAGGAAAACAAUCAAAGGCACACCGUUUGUGCCAAAUAUGGUAAAUGAAUCAAUUAAAGAGUCAUGAAACCAAAAUUGUAGGUUCCAUUUGAAUGAACCUAGUCAAUAAAGGUAGAGGAAGUUGAAUCGAAGAAACAAUUAGUGGCAGUCAGUCAAAGACCUCUAUCAAAGGGAUUUAGAAUCAAGCAAUUAGUUGUCAAAACCUUUUGAAAGCAGAGUUUUCAUAUAAAGCAAACAAAUCAAAUGAAGGAGUCCAACAUUGAAAGGUUUAGGGUAAUAAACCAAAGAAUACGAGUUCAAUUAGAGACUCAUAGUGGGUCUGAAGGUACAGGGUCCCAAAGUGAAACCCUAAUCCAAUUUAUCAAAGAAACCCUCAAAUUCUAGGUUUCAAGUCGAAUCAAACCCAGAAAAGAGAAGGCAGUUGACAAGACUCAAAGAGUCUCAUGAGUAACAAACAGACCAUGAUAGCAGGUUUGAAACAAUCAGAGAAAGAAAAUCAAUUUUAGAACAGAAAAGGACACGUUUUGGAAACUCGUAUCUUAGACAAGUCCAGAAUUGACGAAACAUGCUUAACAAGAACACAAACAGAGUUCAGAAAAGCAAAACUUAAGAAACUCAGUAGUAAACACACAUGGUAGAAAAGUGAGGAAAAUUUAACAGAGAUUAAUCAUGUGAGCAUACAUAUAAAAGAAAAGUAGAAAGACAAUAUUUGCGUAAUAGAGAAGUAAAACAUAUGAGCAUAAUACAGACAAACGCCUAAAAGAAAAGAACAACAAGAAUCAAAAGACUUUCAGAAACCCUAAUUUUAAAACCAACGAUUUUUGAAAAGGAAAUUUGGGGAAAACACUCAAAACGUCACAUAGAGCAUUGAUUCAGUACAGAUCUAUGCAAACAAACAAAAAAAGAACCUUGAAUAGUUUAGGGUUUCUGAGAAACCCUAGAAGCGAGAAAGGCCCAGAAGAACAAGAUCGGAUCUUGAGUCAAAAUGGUCAGAAAUCAAGCUUCCAGUGCUUGAACAUGCUAGAAUGUGGCCGAAAAAUCAUAGAUCUACGGAUCUGAGAUGGAUCUGAUAUGGAUCUGAGAGAGGACCAUCGAGGUCAAGCCUAUAGACUUCGUGUAACUCAUUCUUGGGGGUGAGAUAGGGAGAGUACGGGCCAUUCAUGGCUGGAGAUGCCAUGGAUUUCUGUGGGAAUGAGGUGAGAACAAGCGGGAGAUGAUUAGGGUUUAGGGGAGGCUAAAGAGCGUUUCAUAGAUGUGGGGUUUCAAGGGCAGCG